GCACUGGUGUAGCUCAGUGGUUACUUCAAUUGUCAUUUCUCUUAGAAAUAAACAACCUCCAUCCCUGUGUGGGAUCAAACCCCGGGUGCUGUCCAGUGCUUUU
rnacentral:vault_RNA from 1 species